rfam:Buchnera aphidicola (Cinara tujafilina), complete genome.
GCGGACAUCGUAUAAUGGAUAUUACUUCAGCCUUCCAAGCUGAUAAUGUGGGUUCGAUCCCCACUGUCCGCU